rnacentral:tRNA from 1 species
UCCUGGUUAGCUCAGUUGGUAGAGCGAUCCACCGGAAUUGGAGAGGUCCGUGGUUCGACACCGGGUCCGGCGG